rfam:Canis lupus familiaris chromosome 9, whole genome shotgun sequence.
GCUGAGAUAGCUCAGUUGGGAGCGUUAGCCUGAAGAUCUGAAGGUAACUGGUUUGAUCCCAGGCCUCGGCA